CAUUUUGGACAAUGUACUCUCGUGUCUCUCAAUGCGGCUUCACCGCCCAAGUUACUACAGUUCUUCCUUUAGAAUCUCAUUUUCCCUGGUUUCACAAGACUUGGUCUUGUAAGUGAGCAUAAUCUUCCGCAAUAACACAGACACACUUUUGUGGAAAUCACCCAACUUUUUUAUGCUUCUCUUAUAUUAGAAACUUUUUCCUUUCACAUCAAUUCUCCUAGAUAUUUUCCAAUCUUAUUUUAUGACGCUAUGGACAUUGAUACGCAGCAAAGUGUUGAGAUACAAGAAUAAGGCACAUGAGAUGCGCCACCACCAUGCAGGACCACCACCGAGAUCGAAACAUUUCUUCAUAUUUUCUGAUACACGUGGGUAGCUUUUAUUGUUCCUGAGCUAUAGAAAUAAAAUGCGGAAUAAAACGACGACGAGAUAUCUGCACGGAACAAUCUCACCGUUUGGCAAUCACUGGAUGAAAAUUACUUUAUUUCCUGCCGCCCACGAUAUCGUCGACCCCACUCCGUUACUUCACACCUUGCUGUUCACUCUAUACUGCUGUAAGGUACAUAAGGAUAUGAAAUGGACCAUGUUCCAUGCCCCAUCAGAUUUGUGGGUCAUCGCCUAGGUCAGCCUCAUAAAGUUUGGACCCAUUAGUUUAGUGGAAGCAACAGUAGACUGGCGACGGAACUGAGGGGCCCUACCUACCAGUCUAUAUGCACAUAUUAUAUGUAUGGGCACACGUAUCGUAUGUAUAUAUAAAUCGAUUAAUGAAAUGUGCUUUCUCUCUGCCUCUCCAUCAUCAAAUCGAAUGGGGAAGGAUAAGGAGAGAAAAUGCGAAAAUGCCGUAGCAAUUUAGAGACGCCUUGGCUCAUUAAUUAUAAUGAUUACUUCCUACAAAUGCCCGUUAUCUGCACUCCUCUACUCAACACUCAACACAUAGUCUUAUCAAAUCCUCAGUCUAUUGAUUUACCCUCCAGAGAAGCGGUUUAUGGUGUAGUUGGUCGUCGUCGUCGCCGUUGUAUCGAGACCUGCCUGCCACCACCACUAAUAAUAAUGUGAAUCAGCUCCUACAUACACAAGUUUAGCAAAACCAAAAACAGAGCAGUCGGGACAAAAAACAUUUUCUCCUCCUGAACGAGAGUUUGCCUUCACUUUCUCCAACUUCUUUCCUUCGUGGUAUGUGUAGUGUAGGUUUCAUGCCCAUAAACGAGCGGGGGUGAGACCCCAUUAAAUUGCGAUGUGAAUAGAAAUUUGCCAAAUUAUUAUGCUUUCCAAUGUUGCCAUUUUACUACCUGUACGGCCUACAAAUAACAAAUAUCGCGUUACUCGCUGAUCAAAACCAACUUCCUUCUCCGAAAUUGAACUAAAUACAAGUUUGUUUGUUUCCAAAGUCAGGCUCUGCUGAAUAUACUGAUAAGUAAAGUCUGCAUGCUAUGCGUACAUAGAUGUGCUCAUUAUUUAUUAUUGUCAGACUUUCUCCGUUGAUAUGCCAUGUUUACAAUCAUUAUGUGAGUGGAGGGAAAUGCGAAAAUGCUCUCUUGCGAUAGAUUCAAAUCGGACAAAUGUUGAGCUCCAUGUCGGGUGGGGGGUGAAAGUGAAGUCAACUGUUGAGAUUACUUUGGACCAGUCAGCGAUACUGUAACAUUGUAUUGAAGCACAUUAUGGUAGAAUUCUCGUUGAGAGAAAUCACUGACAACAAAAAGUUUAUGCGCUCUGGGUAGUCAUUUAUUGUUAGUUAAUUAUUGAACAAUUGAAAGUCCAAAAUAUGGCAAUGAGUCAUGGCAUGUUUUUACAAAACGGACUAAUUUUAAAAUCAUAAUGUGAUCUUUAUUAAUAUUGUUUCAUUGUCACAUUAAACAGUAUAAAUACGUAUUACUAGCGUAGAAAUAUGUUAAUUAUAGAUGAGUGCACAUAUUAGAAACAUUUAUAAAAGUGUUUCGACAAAAUUAUUCCGUAUUAUCAAGUAGUUGCACUAUUUUAUCGAUUAUAUACUUAACAUUUAUACAUAUGUACAGGAUCAUAUCUACAACCUCUCAACAAAUUAAGAGACCAAAAUCAUUGCACAUUUAUAUGUAUUUUACAUACAUGUUUUUAUUAGUAGUAUAUAUUUAGCUAUGUAGUGAAAUAUGUGUCGACCACUGUCGCCUAAAAUUAACCAGAAAUAAUGAUCAAGUAAGAUUAGUGGAACUCGCAGUAUAGAGCUACUAAUAUCUGUCUAAUAAAUUUAGAA